CAGACCUCUGAGACAAUAGGUCGCCUUCUAGCGGCCAUGACACAAAGCUGAUUUAACACAAAGAAAAUGAAAUAAAAAGACAUGUGACUCUUUCCUUCCUGUCUCCAGUCUCUGUCUCCUCAGGACCGAGCCGUCUACAAGGAAUUUUCCACCUCGAAACGUCGCAGCACCGCUAAAGUUCGUAGCAGCCCGGGAGCUAAAGUCCGUGUGACAGCAAAGGGGAAGGCGGCGAGUUCAAGAGCUGCGACACAGACUGUCGGGGUUGCCAAGAGGGCCAUGGCGUACCGAGCCAAGCAGGACAUGUCUGACUCAGACGAGGAGAAGAGCGACUCGUCUGACUCUGAUGAAGAUGACGAGACGUCGGGCUCCACAGACAGCGACGAUGAGGAUGACGAGGUGAAAACGUUUUUACCCUUCAGCAAUCAUA